UGAGUUCAAGAGUACUUGAAACCGUNUGGGAGUAAACGGGUGGUUCCCGAAAGUGCGAAAGGGGAGAUUCAGGUCUCGCCGCGCGCCGGGCCGCUCCCGCGAGAAGGGAUGGCGUUUUCGCGGCCGUGGGGCGACCCACGGUCCGGGGGGGCGACCCACGGUCCGGGGGCGCCACCCCGCGGGUGCGGACGAUCUCGGCGCCGGAGUGACGCACUUCUCCCCCGGUAGAACGUCGCGAUCCGUCGGUCGCCGGCCUAAGGCCCCGGGUGGAGCCUGUUUCGCCGCGCAUGACCCCGGGUGUCCGGGCCGUGAUGUCCAAGAGGUAUGAAGAGAGGAAGGAGUCGACGCGCUAUCAUUCGUAGGCGUCCGCCCCUAGAACAAGYGAUCYNCUNAANUUGGAUAGUCUCNGGGCCCGGCCCNNU
rnacentral:rRNA from 1 species